GUGGGGAAUAUUGGACAAUGGGCGAAAGCCUGAUCCAGCCAUGCCGCGUGUGUGAAGAAGGUCUUCGGAUUGUAAAGCACUUUAAGUUGGGAGGAAGGGCAGUAAGUUAAUACCUUGCUGUUUUGACGUUACCGACAGAAUAAGCACCGGCUAACUUCGUGCCAGCAGCCGCGGUAAUACGAAGGGUGCAAGCGUUAAUCGGAAUUACUGGGCGUAAAGCGCGCGUAGGUGGUUUUGUAAGUUGGAGGUGAAAUCCCCGGGCUCAACCUGGGAACUGCCUCCAAAACUGCAUGACUAGAGUACGGUAGAGGGUAGUGGAAUUUCCUGUGUAGCGGUGAAAUGCGUAGAUAUAGGAAGGAACACCAGUGGCGAAGGCAACUACCUGGACUGAUACUGACACUGAGGUGCGAAAGCGUGGGGAGCAAACAGGAUUAGAAACCCUUGUAGUCC
rnacentral:rRNA from 1 species